CUGGAGGUAUCAGAAGUGCGAAUGCUGACAUAAGUAACGAUAAAGCGGGUGAAAAGCCCGCUCGCCGGAAGACCAAGGGUUCCUGUCCAACGUUAAUCGGGGCAGGGUGAGUCGACCCCUAAGGCGAGGCCGAAAGGCGUAGUCGAUGGGAAACAGGUUAAUAUUCCUGUACUUGGUGUUACUGCGAAGGGGGGACGGAGAAGGCUAUGUUGGCCGGGCGACGGUUGUCCCGGUUUAAGCGUGUAGGCUGGUUUUCCAGGCAAAUCCGGAAAAUCAAGGCUGAGGCGUGAUGACGAGGCACUACGGUGCUGAAGCAACAAAUGCCCUGCUUCCAGGAAAAGCCUCUAAGCAUCAGGUAACAUCAAAUCGUACCCCAAACCGACACAGGUGGUCAGGUAGAGAAUACCAAGGCGCUUGAGAGAACUCGGGUGAAGGAACUAGGCAAAAUGGUGCCGUAACUUCGGGAGAAGGCACGCUGAUAUGUAGGUGAAGUCCCUCGCGGAUGGAGCU
rnacentral:rRNA from 1 species